GCUCCUACCGAUUGGGUGUGCUGGUGAAGUGUCCGGAGUGGCCUCAAUGGGGGGCAACCCCUGCUGUUGCCGGGAAGAACAUUAAACCCUCCCACCUAGAGGAAGGAGAAGUCGUAACAAGGUCUCC
rnacentral:rRNA from 1 species